AGUAACACUCUGGGAGGGCUCAGGCCACAUCACCAAAUGUGCCAGGAUAGCCUUGAACUCAUCAAUUGCUGGGGGCACCUCAAACUCAACUCCAAAAUUGAUCUAAUGAAUUUUCCCAAACCACAUUCCCUUCUUGCAUUUCUAAGAGAAUGGAUUCCCAUUCAUCUGACUACAGUGCUAUCCUGAAAGGAGAUCCGGAGACUAAGAUUCACCUGAGAUCCGGAGACUAAGAUUCACCUGCAGGUGAUUCAUUUG
rnacentral:lncRNA from 1 species